rnacentral:rRNA from 1 species
GAUUAGGGUUUGAUUAUGGCUCAGGAUGAACGCUAGCGGCAGGCUUAACACAUGCAAGUCGAGGGGCAGCGAAUCUAGCUUGCUAGAUGUCGGCGACCGGCGAACGGGUGCGUAACGCGUAUAGAAUCUGCCUUGUACAGGAGGAUAGCCUUUAGAAAUGAAGAUUAAUACUCCAUAAUGUUUAGAGAUGGCAUCGUUUUUAAAUUAAAGAUUUAUUGGUACAAGAUGACUAUGCGUCCUAUUAGCUAGAUGGUAAGGUAACGGCUUACCAUGGCAACGAUAGGUAGGGGGUCUGAGAGGAUUAUCCCCCACACUGGUACUGAGACACGGACCAGACUCCUACGGGAGGCAGCAGUGAGGAAUAUUGGUCAAUGGAGGCAACUCUGAACCAGCCAUGCCGCGUGCAGGAAGACUGCCCUAUGGGUUGUAAACUGCUUUUAUACAGGAAGAAACAGAACUACGUGUAGUUCCUUGACGGUACUGUAAGAAUAAGCACCGGCUAACUCCGUGC